UACGUAGGGUGCGAGCGUUGUCCGGAAUUAUUGGGCGUAAAGAGCUCGUAGGCGGUCUGUCGCGUCGGUCGUGAAAACUUGGGGCUUAACCCUGAGCUUGCGGUCGAUACGGGCAUGACUGGAGUUCGGCAGGGGAGACUGGAAUUCCUGGUGUAGCGGUGAAAUGCGCAGAUAUCAGGAGGAACACCGGUGGCGAAGGCGGGUCUCUGGGCCGAUACUGACGCUGAGACGCGAAAGCGUGGGGAGCAAACAGG
rnacentral:rRNA from 1 species